ACUAAUUCCUCAAAGCAUCUUAGCAGAUCUAAGCCCGUGAGUGACUUGCCACAACUAAAUGCACAUGGUUGAAUCCAGCCCAAGUAUUGAUAAUCAAGAAAGAGUCAUGAUGUUAAGUUCGGAUAUAAAAUUGAAAUCCAGUCUUUCAAAUUGUUUAAAUUAAGAUCUGGCUGGACUAAUACAAAAAGAGAGAAAGCAUUACUCCAGGAAACAUUGCAAAGUAUAUUUGAAAUUACACUUAUGUCUAUCAUCAAGCAAGUUUUCCACACAUUCGUGAGCUCAUUACAAAAAAGAAAACUUAUGCAUUUUGACAACUCAAUUAACUUAAACUGAAAAACUAAA
rnacentral:misc_RNA from 1 species